AAUGAACGCUGGCGGCGCGCCUAAUACAUGCAAGUCGAGCGAGAAGACGUAGCAAUACGUUUGUAAAGCGGCGAACGGGUGAGGAAUACAUGGGUAACCUACCCUAGAGUGGGGAAUAACUAGCCGAAAGGUUAGCUAAUACCGCGUACGCUCCUUGGACUUCGGUUCAGGGAGGAAAGCGAUGCCGAGGGUAUCGCGCUC
rnacentral:rRNA from 1 species